rnacentral:rRNA from 1 species
CCUGCCAGUAGUCAUAUGCUUCGUUCAAGGGCUAAGCCAUGCACGUGUCAGAGUACACGGCUUCAACAGUGGGUCUGUGAAUGGCUCCUUACAUCAGCAGUCAUCUCUGUGAUAGAGUGUGGAUGGUCCCGACUCCCAGGAGGCCCUAUUGGAUAUCCUCCAAAACCUAGUGGCUAAUACACGGCUGCCCAAGUCUGCUACAGCACGGUUUGCCCAGGCAUCCGCCUGUCAUUCCGGCAGUGGAUUGCACCCAGCCGCACCUGAAGACCGGCGCCUGGAAAUGGCAGCGUGUUUGUGGUUGACUCAGGCUGGUCCCCAGUGGACACUGUGUUGGCAGAGUGGAGCCUCGGCUCAGCAUUGCUUGAUCACACGAGCUUCUGACCUAUCAGCUUGGAUGGUGGUGUAUUGGACCACCAUGGCAGUGACGGGUGACGGAGAAUCAGGGUUCGAUUCCGGAGAGGGAGCCUGAGAGACGGCUACCACUGCUAAGGCGGGCAGCAGGCACGCAAAUUGCCCCAUGCUGAUACAUGGCUGGUGAGGCAGCGACGAACUGCAGCAAUCCCACUUGCCCUCGUGGCGGGUGGGACUUGCAAUGGAUGCAAUCCAAACACAGUGAUGAGUAUCGACUGGAGGGCAAGUCUGGUGCCAGCAGCUGCGGUAAUUCCAGCUCCAAGGGCGUAUACUAACAUUGCUGUUGUUAAAACACUUGUAGUCGGAUGCUGGGUUGCAGGUCUGUUGGAGGCAGCUGUGGGUUGCACAGUCCCUGUGCCUUCGGGCAUGGGGCUGGGUGGCCCUUCUGGCUGGUACAACCUCCAGCAGUAUGUCCCUGCACCCGUAUAAUGACGGUGUGAUUGGCUCCUGCUCCAAGUCUCCUUAAGUGGGGAUCGAUGCGGGUUUAUACCCCACGCUUGUGUGUUGACGUUUGAGGGGCACAGCCCCAGUGCUAUGCAGAUACCCUCAGUCCACCACCGGAGUCCACUGUCUCAGACACCGUGGAAAACUCAGUGUGCCCAAAGCAUCCCUUCGGCUGGAUGCCCGUCCAUGGAAUGUCAAAGCAUCGACCAGAUGUGGCUAUGAAGUUGUGCUGGCCUUGGUGCCCUUCUGGAGAACAUGGCUCUGUCACCUGUCUGGCAGUGACUCCAGCUUGCUGGGGUCCUCCUGCUUGGUAGGCUGGCACAGUCGAUCGUCCACGAUGGGACAGCUCGGGGUGAAAGAUAUUGCAACGCCAGAGGUGAAAUUCUUAGACCGCUGCAAGAUCAACUGCAGCGAAGGCGUUCUGCAAGUGCUCGUUCGUCGAUCAAGAAUGUGAGUGUGGGGAGCGAAGAUGAUCAGACACCGUCGUAGUCCACAACUGUAAACGAUGCCGGCUCGGUGUUGACAGGGCAAGUACACGGACCCUGUCAGCACCAUACCCCCUACAACGAGAAAUCCAAGCCCAUGGGUUCAAGGGGGAGUACUGUCGCAAGGCUGAAACUUAAAGGAAUUGACGGAAUGGCACCACAAGGCGUGGAGUAUGCGGCUUAAUUUGACUCAACACGGGGAAUGUUACCAGGUCCGGACGUUGCUGGGAUGGACAGAUUGAGAGCUCUUUCUUGAUCCUUCGGAUGGUGGUGCAUGGCCGCUCCUGAUUGGUGGAGUGAUUUGUCUGGUUGAUUCCGAUAACGAGUGAGACAUCUGCCUCCCAAUAGCCUUGGCCUCGCUCUGGUAGGACGUUUGUGGCGGACAAGGGUGGGGUUUCUCACCUGAGAAUGCCACUACUCGUCCGAGAGGCCCAAGUUCAGCUUCUCUGAGGUGCUGUGUACGCUUCCAAGUGCAUGCAUGCUAGAGCCAACAGCAGGUCUGUGAUGCUCCCAGAUGUCCUGGGCCGCACGCGCACUACAUUGGCCCGAAGAAUGUGCAGUGACACUCCCUCGUGGAGACCUUCUCAGACAUGAGCGGGAAACCCCUGGAGCUCGACCUUGGCCGUACUGGGGAUAGAUGAUUGCAACUGUCUGCCUUGAACGAGGAAUGCCUAGUAGGCGCAAGUCAUCAGCUUGCACCGAUUGUGUCCCUGCCAUUUGUACACACCGCCCGUCGUUGCUACCGAUGGUAGCUGGAUAGAGCCAUCAGGAGGUCUGGGGUCACCCUUGGCCUCGGACCAAACUUGGGCAAUGUCCAGCUGCUAGAGGAAGCAAAAGUC